rnacentral:rRNA from 1 species
GCAUCCUUCGGGGUGAGUGGCAGACGGGUGAGUAACGCGUGGGAACGUGCCCUUCAGUUCGGAAUAACCCAGGGAAACUUGGGCUAAUACCGGAUACGUGCGAGAGCAGAAAGAUUUAUCGCUGAAGGAUCGGCCCGCGUCUGAUUAGCUAGUUGGUAGGGUAAUGGCCUACCAAGGCGACGAUCAGUAGCUGGUCUGAGAGGAUGAUCAGCCACAUUGGGACUGAGACACGGCCCAAACUCCUACGGGAGGCAGCAGUGGGGAAUAUUGGACAAUGGGCGCAAGCCUGAUCCAGCCAUGCCGCGUGAGUGAUGAAGGCCUUAGGGUUGUAAAGCUCUUUCAGUGGGGACGAUAAUGACGGUACCCGCAGAAGAAGCCCCGGCUAACUUCGUGCCAGCAGCCGCGGUAAUACGAAGGGGGCUAGCGUUGUUCGGAAUCACUGGGCGUAAAGGGCGCGUAGGCGGCUUUGUAAGUCGGGGGUGAAAGCCUGUGGCUCAACCACAGAAUUGCCUUCGAUACUGCAUGGCUUGAGACCGGAAGAGGUUAGUGGAACUGCGAGUGUAGAGGUGAAAUUCGUAGAUAUUCGCAAGAACACCAGUGGCGAAGGCGGCUGACUGGUCCGGUUCUGACGCUGAGGCGCGAAAGCGUGGGGAGCAAACAGGAUUAGAUACCCUGGUAGUCCACGCCGUAAACGAUGAAUGCCAGCCGUUGGCGAGCUUGCUCGUCAGUGGCGCAGCUAACGCUUU